rnacentral:rRNA from 1 species
AUGAAAAAUUUAUUUUUUAUAUAUAAAAAAAAUAGUUUUAAUACAAGUAUUUUUAAGAAAUUAAUAAGUUAAUGAUAGUGGAUAGUAUAGUGAUAGAAAUAUGAAUUAAUAUAAUUUAAUUAUUUGAAAGAAGAAUUCGGUUUUUGUACCUUGUGUAUCAGGGUUUAUUAAAAUAAGUUAAUAACUUAAUUUUCUCGAAUUGGAAAGAGCUAUAAUUAUAUAUAUUUAAUUGUUGCAUAAAUUUUUAAAAUAUGAUUAUAGAAAUGAAACGUUAGUCGUUUUUUAAGAUAUCUGGUUUUUUAAGAAAUAAAUUUAAUUUAGUUUUUUUAGUGUAUAUUAUUAAGUUAAUAGUGAUAUAUGUAAAGAUGGUAAUAUUUUAGGGGAUAAGCUUUAAAAUAAAUAAUUAAAAAUUGAUUUUAUAAUAUAGAAAAUUGGUAGGAUUGGAAAUGUUCAUCUGUAGUUUGUUAUAAUUAAUUUUUUAUUGAAUAAGAUUUAUAUGUAUUUUAGAUUGUUUAUUAAAAAUAUUUAUAUAAUUAUAUAUUAUAUGAUAUAAUGAUAAAAUUAGUAUAGUUUUUUGUAUUGUAUAGUUCAUUAUUGAGGUUAAAUUAAGGAACUCGGCAAAUACAUUUUUCGCCUGUUUAUUAAAAACAUGUCUUUUUGAUUAUAAUUUAAAGUCUAACCUGCCCAAUGAGGAGUUAAAUGGCCGCGGUACUUUGACCGUGCAAAGGUAGCAUAAUCAUUAGUUUUUUAAUUGAAAGCUGGAAUGAACGGUUGGACGAGAAAAUAACUGUCUCAAUUUAAUUGAUAUUAGAAUUUUAUUUAUAAGUAAAAAAGCUUAUAUUUAUUUAAAAGACGAGAAGACCCUAUAGAAUUUUAUAUAUAUUUAUAUACAUAUUAUUUUAGAAUGUUUAAUAUGUAUAUAAAGAUAUAUUUUGUUGGGGCGAUGGAAAAAUUGAAUAAACUUUUUUUAUAUAGAAUCAUUGAUUUAUGAGUAAAUGAUCCGUUAUUAACGAUUAUAAGAUUAAAUUACCUUAGGGAUAACAGCGUAAUUUUUUUUUAGAGUUCUUAUCGAAAAAAGAGUUUGCGACCUCGAUGUUGGAUUAAAAUUUACUUUUGGUGUAGGGGCUAAAAAGUUAGGUCUGUUCGACCUUUAAAAUUUUACAUGAUCUGAGUUUAAACCGGCGUGAGCCAGGUUGGUUUCUAUCUUUAAGAAAAUUAUAUGUCUUAGUACGAAAGGAUUAGAUAUGUGUAAUAUUUAUUAUAUUUUGAAUGGUAUU